rnacentral:misc_RNA from 1 species
UGGCCGCCUAGCCAAGCCGCUCAGCCCACUCAAGCCACAGCCCACCACCUUUCUCCAUUCUCAAGUCUAUAUGAUGACAGCCGCCGCGCAACGCAUCUCAUUGUCGUGUUCAGGGAACGACGCCCAGUCCUCCAAGAUGGCAGAUGGAAUGUUAUCAUUAUCGUGGAACAACCACAGAGCAACAUUCUGCCACAUACUAGCAACACUUAGAGAAAAGGAGAGGUAUACUGAUGUAACCGUGGCAUGUGAGGGCAAGUUUUAUCCUGUACACAAACUGGUGUUGUCCACAUGCAGUGAGUACUUUGAGAAGAUCUUUGAGAACACACCUUGUAAGCACCCUGUCAUCGUGCUGAAGGAUGUCAACCGCUGUGACCUGGAGGCUCUCUUUUGCUAUAUGUACGAGGGUGCUGUUAGCGUGGCACAAAGCAACCUUGGCCGCCUCAUCAAGGCCGCUGAAGUUCUCAGAAUCAAGGGCCUCGCUGUACCAGACGAGCCACCAAUAUCAGACAGACGCACAGCAUCCUCGCACCAUCACCACUCCUCAGACGACCGCAGCAGUCCACACCCCAAGCGGCGGAGACGGGAAGAGAACAGCCACACACAUCAGGGGCGAUCACAGUCGUCUCCAUCACCCCCUUCCUCCCCCAGACCCUCACCCCUGCAUGAAGGGGGAGAGAACCACCCUGCCCAGAGGUCCCGGAGUGACAGCCAGUGGGGGGACCAUGGGGUGACAGACCGGGAGGAUGGGGGCAUGGAUGGGUUGGCUGAUGACAGGCUGGGGGAUCACUCAACCACUAGCCACUCAGUUCCCACGCCACCACAAGUAGAGGUAAUGGUGGACGAAACUCUAGUCAAGGAGGAGAUGAUCGACCAGGGAGACACGGGGCAGGAAGACAUGAUGGACUCAGGGAUGGACUACGGUUCGGUGGGCAGCGACUCACGGCUGGAGGGCUCAGCGGGAGGCGGAGGGGAAGAAGAUCACAUGUUACCUGGCAAGUAUGAACCCAAAGCCAAUCCCUCGCAGCAGGCCAUUCCUGAGGCUGUGGUGGAGGCGCUGGCUGGACCCUCAGGGAUGCAAACGUGGUUAGGUGGUGAGAUGCCUUCUGGGUUCUCUGGGCUGGAGGGCUACACAGGCAGUGAUGGGGGACAAGACCUCCACCCGUCCUCCCAGGCCCCAGCGGCACACCAGCUGGAUGCUUACAGAAGUGGUUGUCUUGAUACCUUGACUGAAGCAAAGAUUACCAACAGCAAGACUCCGUUUGACUUUGGUCAACCUUGGCUCUGUCAUUGCUAUAGAGGCAUUCCCAUGCCCUAUCCUUGAAUCUUGUCUCCUCCUGUUACCACCACUAAGUUGGUAGAUUACCUCUGCUGCAAUCUCAUGUGUCCCUGGGAUCACCUUGGAACGGCAAGGAUGACUGUGUGUUGACCGCCUGCUUGCGCUGCGACCACAUUCCGCUCAGCCAGCUGCUUCCCUCCCAGAGGCACCGGCACCAGUUGGUCAUCAUCAUCGCCCUGGGCC